rnacentral:rRNA from 1 species
CUACGUGCCAGCAGCCGCGGUAAUACGUAGGUGGCAAGCGUUGUCCGGAAUUAUUGGGCGUAAAGCGCGCGCAGGCGGAUAGGUCAGUCUGUCUUAAAAGUUCGGGGCUUAACCCCGUGAUGGGAUGGAAACUGCCAAUCUAGAGUAUCGGAGAGGAAAGUGGAAUUCCUAGUGUAGCGGUGAAAUGCGUAGAUAUUAGGAAGAACACCAGUGGCGAAGGCGACUUUCUGGACGAAAACUGACGCUGAGGCGCGAAAGCCAGGGGAGCGAACGGGAUUAGAUACCCCGGUAGUCCUGGCCGUAAACGAUGGGUACUAGGUGUAGGAGGUAUCGACCCCUUCUGUGCCGGAGUUAACGCAAUAAGUACCCCGCCUGGGGAGUACGACCGCAAGGUUGAAACUCAAAGGAAUUGACGGGGGCCCGCACAAGCGGUGGAGUAUGUGGUUUAAUUCGACGCAACGCGAAGAACCUUACCAGGUCU